AUUAGUUAGUUGGCGGGGUAAUGGCCCACCAAGACGAUGAUCGGUAGCCGGACUGAGAGGUUGGCCGGCCACACUGGAACUGAGACACGGUCCAGACUCCUACGGGAGGCAGCAGUGGGGAAUCUUGCGCAAUGGACGAAAGUCUGACGCAGCAACGCCGCGUGGGGGAUGAAGCUUCUCGGAGUGUAAACCCCUUUCGACCCGGACGAAUGCCCGCAAGGGUUUGACGGUACGGGUAUAAGAAGCCCCGGCUAACUACGUGCCAGCAGCCGCGGUAAAACGUAGGGGGCCAGCGUUGCUCGGAAUUACUGGGCGUAAAGGGUCCGUAGGCGGUGUGGCAAGUCGGAAGUGAAAUCUCUGGGCUUAACCCAGAGGCUGCUCCCGAAACUGCCAUGCUAGAGUGUGAGAGAGGCGAGUGGAAUUGCGGGUGUAGCGGUGAAAUGCGUAGAUAUCCGCAGGAACAUCCGAGGCGAAAGCGGCUCGCUGGAUCACAACUGACGCUGAGGGACGAAAGCUAGGGGAGCAAACAGGAUUAGAUACCCUGGUAGU
rnacentral:rRNA from 1 species